rnacentral:rRNA from 1 species
GACGAACGCUGGCGGCGUGCUUAACACAUGCAAGUCGAACGGAAAGGCCCUGCUUUUGUGGGGUGCUCGAGUGGCGAACGGGUGAGUAACACGUGAGUAACCUGCCCUUGACUUUGGGAUAACUUCAGGAAACUGGGGCUAAUACCGGAUAGGAGCUCCUGCUGCAUGGUGGGGGUUGGAAAGUUUCGGCGGUUGGGGAUGGACUCGCGGCUUAUCAGCUUGUUGGUGGGGUAGUGGCUUACCAAGGCUUUGACGGGUAGCCGGCCUGAGAGGGUGACCGGCCACAUUGGGACUGAGAUACGGCCCAGACGCCAACGGGAGGCAGCAGUGGGGAAUAUUGCACAAUGGGCGGAAGCCUGAUGCAGCAACGCCGCGUGCGGGAUGACGGCCUUCGGGUUGUAAACCGCUUUCGCCUGUGACGAAGCGUGAGUGACGGUAAUGGGUAAAGAAGCACCGGCUAACUACGUG